AGCGUGGGCGAGUGUCCUCGUCGCAGGUGCCGCGGGGCCUGACGCCACGACGCCCCCGCGCUCUGAAGGUUCAAAGGUGUGAAUAAGCCCGGACGCAGCCUUCGCCUGCAAAGCGGCCGAAACAGGACGCCUUGGAGCAGCUGACUCUUGUACUCACCUUCCUUCCCCGUCCUACUCUGCUUUUCAAAAUGCGGCCUGAACCAUCAUCGCAUCAGGUGCCCCCGAGGCGGUUGUUAAACGUGCAGGCCCCGGGCGGCCUGCCUCCUGAAGCCCAAGGCGUGCGCCCAUUCGUAGUUGAACACCAACAGUCUACAAGGCGGAGGAGAACCUGGGAGGAGGCCCAGUCUCCAGGGAGUUUAAUUCCUGAGCGUUUAGUCGUCUCUUGACCCAGACUAGCAAAGCUGACUAAUGUGAGGCCGCACCCUAAAAGUACUGUGUGUGUUGGCCCCGAAGGCUUAGUAAGACAUCGCGAUCCCGGUCAUUUGGGCGCAUUGAGUCAUGGCCCAACAGAUUUACUCCGUUAUUAAAUUAGAAGAAGCCAACAGAAGAGUGGCCCAUGUGCAUGGACAGGGCUGGAAUGAUUCUUGCUUCAACAGCAUUCCCUUCAACCUUGCUUGAAUGGAGGCUGCGUAGAUCACAAGCUCCGCAGACUACAAGAUAUCUUUGCUCAGAAGGAACCACAAGGUCACUGAGAGCUAAACUCAACAUUGUUCCCCCGCAUAUCAAAGCUAAGCAGAGUUGUAAAUUGUUUCAACUUAUGAAUAGAACUCCACUGAACCACACCAUAGCUAUAGAGUUGACCUGCAGUUUUACCCUGCUAAGGGAGUUAUUUUGUAGUGACAAAACUUUUCUUCUGGUGGCCUGACACAUCAUAGGACUUGGAGGUUGGGAAUUCUUCCUUCCCAUCAAAUGUUGGUUCUAAAUCCACAGAACUGUUUGAGAAUCCAGAUACAAAAUUAUGAUACUAUUGAUGAUUUGAUUUGAAAAGAUGAACGAGAUUGACAGCACAAAAAUUUUAAAUAUAAUCUUUAAAGGAAGAUACACACAAGGAAAAGGCAACUGCCCUAGACACUGGCAUGUCCAAAUGUAAUGACUAGACCUGCUGCAGCCAUCUUGCAACCAGAGAGGAGGCAACUUAAAAACAAAGCCAACACAAUGAAAUGACUCAGAAGAAAGUGGGAAGACCUGAGUACUUGUUGAUGCUAUUGAGCUGAUGAAUUAAACUUGGAGUAUACCAAC